rnacentral:rRNA from 1 species
GAUGAACGCUGGCGGCGUGCCUAAUACAUGCAAGUCGAGCGAACGGACGAGAAGCUUGCUUCUCUGAUGUUAGCGGCGGACGGGUGAGUAACACGUGGAUAACCUACCUAUAAGACUGGGAUAACUUCGGGAAACCGGAGCUAAUACCGGAUAAUAUUUUGAACCGCAUGGUUCAAAAGUGAAAGACGGUCUUGCUGUCACUUAUAGAUGGAUCCGCGCUGCAUUAGCUAGUUGGUAAGGUAACGGCUUACCAAGGCAACGAUGCAUAGCCGACCUGAGAGGGUGAUCGGCCACACUGGAACUGAGACACGGUCCAGACUCCUACGGGAGGCAGCAGUAGGGAAUCUUCCGCAAUGGGCGAAAGCCUGACGGAGCAACGCCGCGUGAGUGAUGAAGGUCUUCGGAUCGUAAAACUCUGUUAUUAGGGAAGAACAUAUGUGUAAGUAACUGUGUACAUCUUGACGGUACCUAAUCAGAAAGCCACGGCUAACUACGUG